rnacentral:rRNA from 1 species
UGCAAGUCGAACGGCAGCACAGGAGAGCUUGCUCUCUGGGUGGCGAGUGGCGGACGGGUGAGGAAUGCAUAGGAAUCUACUCUUUCGUGGGGGAUAACGUAGGGAAACUUACGCUAAUACCGCAUACGACCUACGGGUGAAAGCCGGGGACCUUCGGGCCUGGCGCGAAUGAAUGAGCCGAUGCCCGAUUAGCUAGUUGGCGGGGUAAGAGCCCACCAAGGCGACGAUCGGUAGCUGGUCUGAGAGGAUGAUCAGCCACACUGGAACUGAGACACGGUCCAGACUCCUACGGGAGGCAGCAGUGGGGAAUAUUGGACAAUGGGCGCAAGCCUGAUCCAGCCAUACCGCGUGGGUGAAGAAGGCCUUCGGGUUGUAAAGCCCUUUUGUUGGGAAAGAAAAGCAGUCGGUUAAUACCCGGUUGUUCUGACGGUACCCAAAGAAUAAGCACCGGCUAACUUCGUGCCAGCAGCCGCGGUAAUACGAAGGGUGCAAGCGUUACUCGGAAUUACUGGGCGUAAAGCGUGCGUAGGUGGUUGUUUAAGUCUGUCGUGAAAGCCCUGGGCUCAACCUGGGAAUUGCGAUGGAAACUGGGCGACUAGAGUGUGGCAGAGGAUAGUGGAAUUCCUGGUGUASCAGUGAAAUGCGUARAGAUCAGGAGGAACAUCCGUGGCGAARGCGACUGUCUGGGCCAACACUGACACUGAGGCACGAAAGCGUG